rnacentral:lncRNA from 1 species
CCUCAGUUGAAAACUUAUGAUUGUCGUGUGAUUAUUAUUAUGUUAUGUGUGCUAUUUUCAGUGAGGCAUUGAAGAAGGCUUUCCCUCUGAAGUCAGAUCAGGACAUAGAGGAGCUGUUGGCGGUGGCUCAGACAGAGCUGAGGAGUAAUGGAGUGUGCAUUGCUUAUCAGACACUUUAUACAGAGGACACAGAUGGAAGACACAAAGAUUUCCUGAGUCUAGUUAAAAAACAAGCUACUUCUGAGAGACUGCAGUACAUCAGCGAGCUGAGAGUGCAGCUGGAAGGCAAAGGGUGAAAGAAAGAUCAUCAUCCAUCAAACUGUUUACAACAUUAGAAUAAGUUAUUAGAGAUCUCAGUGUAAAAGCCACAUUUAACUAAUCCUGUUUGUUUCGAUAAUUGUCAUAGUUUUGUCCUGUUUUGUAUAUCAUCAAUGUAGGGAAAUAGAUGCAGAGCACCUCAGGGCUGCCUUCAAGACUAUCGCAGGGUUCCCACGCUUCUUGAAAGUACUUGAAAGUACUUGAAUUUCAGACAUAUGGAUUCAAGGCCUGGAAAGUACUUGAAAACAAACAUAGGUCCUUGAAAGUGCUUGAAUUAAAUUUGAAAUACAUUUUCAAAUACAUCUAUUUCAAAAAUUGUCCUGUAUGUUCUGUCAAAGAACGAAACGGCACUAAUGAUUGGGGGUGGAGAUGGGGUAACGCGGAAAAAAACUUAGCGUGUGUGUUGAUGCGCAGCCUAGAGCCCUGAGCGGGACAGUUUUCUUAAGCCAGAUCCCGCUGAAUUUCUGACCAUUACCGCCUGCUCCCACAACGUGCGUGUGCCGCUCCAGCAAACAUUCUAAUAUUGUAUAUACAGGGAUUGAAGUUUUCCGUCGCUACGACGGAUUUCCGUCAAUUGGAAAACCUAUAUGUUCUGUCAAAGAACGAAACGGCACUAAUGAUUGGGGGUGGAGAUGGGGUAACGCGGAAAAAAACUUAGCGUGUGUGUUGAUGCGCAGCCUAGAGCCCUGAGCGGGACAGUUUUCUUAAGCCAGAUCCCGCUGAAUUUCUGACCAUUACCGCCUGCUCCCACAACGUGCGUGUGCCGCUCCAGCAAACAUUCUAAUAUUGUAUAUACAGGGAUUGAAGUUUUCCGUCGCUACGACGGAUUUCCGUCAAUUGGAAAAAAUGAGGGGAGAAGAAACGCGUGGUGCAUUGUUGUUGUACCAAAAUUCAUCCCCGCCAUGGCUGCAGCUUCUCACUGACAACAUAACGCCGCUCGCAUAAUUCACAGUCGGGUUAUUAGCAGAGAACACAGAGCAGGACUUGAAUUUCGGCGCGGGAUUGCGGGUAUUAAUAAUAAUUCUACUCAUUCCCGCAGGUUCCGCGCUUAUAACGCGAUGACAGAUGACGGAACGUAUCAUUUGCACGUGCUUUCGAGUCCUGAGAACUCUCAUUUUCUGUGCGCCCUCAGAUCGCGAUAAGGAGAGUGACAGCUUUUAAUAAUUAUUAAAGGAGUUUGCCAAUGUAUUGGUUUAAUACAACAGUUCAAUAAACAAGUACUGCCUGAUUUUGCUCUUUUCAUCAACGAAAAUAGUUCCAAAUAAAGUAACAGCUCAGCCGCUGCGCAUCUCUAAAAGCAAACACAGUGGUGUUUAAUUCAUUCAAUGAAAGUGCGUUUUUGAACGAAUCUAGUGAGUCAGUGAAUCAUGAUUACCCAUUCACAAAGACUUGUUUCAUUCCUGAAUGAAUCAGCUGUUCAAACGAAUCAAUUGAAUGAAUGAUUCAGUGAUAAAAAUCAGUGACUUGCCGCCACCUGCUGGCGGUUUCAGUUUCAUUUUUAGACAUAAUUUCAGUUAUUUAAAUCAUCUAAUAUUUCUGUAUUCCAAAUUUUAUAUUUAAAACAUUAAUCUCAACAUGAAAUUAUGAAUUUAAUUGCACUCAUGCCACCUCUGAGAAUCAUUAAACAUCUGAAAAUUUACCUACAAGCCACUUUUGUGUUCUUCUGUGCACCCUCUGUAGUAGAAAUUAAUUUUGUAUUAAUACUAAUUUCAUAUGAUUGCUAACUUAUUUAUCUUAUUCUACUUCUUAUUAUAUUUUAUUAAAUAGAACUUUUAAAAAGCUUAUAAACGUACAUUUUUGAAUUUGCCAUUACAAAGGUAAAAAAAAAACGCCCCGGUAAAUCACUUUAAGGAGUCAAAUAUCACCUCGUAUUAGGAUGGCUAAUUUUUGAUCAGAAUUUUUGAUUAUUGGUCAGAAGGUGCUCCUAAAUUAUUUAAAUUAGGAGGACUAGCGCUCCUAAAAAGAAAAGUAAGCAUAGAGCCAUGUGUAUCAGUAUAUUAGAUCCGUG